rnacentral:rRNA from 1 species
AUUGAACGCUGGCGGCAUGCUUUACACAUGCAAGUCGAACGGUAACAGGCCGCAAGGUUCUGACGAGUGGCGAACGGGUGAGUAAUGCAUCGGAACGUGCCCAGUCGUGGGGGAUAACUACUCGAAAGAGUAGCUAAUACCGCAUACGAUCUAUGGAUGAAAGCGGGGGACCGUAAGGCCUCGCGCGAUUGGAGCGGCCGAUGUCAGAUUAGGUAGUUGGUGGGGUAAAGGCUCACCAAGGCAACGAUCUGUAGCUGGUCUGAGAGGACGACCAGCCACGCUGGGACUGAGACACGGCCCAGACUCCUACGGGAGGCAGCAGUGGGGAAUUUUGGACAAUGGGCGCAAGCCUGAUCCAGCAAUGCCGCGUGCAGGAAGAAGGCCUUCGGGUUGUAAACUGCUUUUGUACGGAAAGAAACGGAUCUGGUUAAUACCCGGGGCUAAUGACGGUACCGUAAGAAUAAGCACCGGCUAACUACGUG